GACGAACGCUGGCGGCGUGCUUAACACAUGCAAGUCGAACGAUGAAGUUCCUUCGGGAAUGGAUUAGUGGCGAACGGGUGAGGAACACGUGAGAAACCUGCCUUUCAUUUUGGGAUAACUCCGGGAAACCGGGGAUAAAACCGAACACCCCGUAUCGGCCGCAUCGCUGAGCCGGGAAAACAUUUUGAUGAAAGAAGGUCUCGCGGCCUAUCAGAUAGUUGGUGAGGUAAUGGCUCACCAAGGCAACGACGGGUAGCCGGCCUGAGAGGGCGACCGGCCACACUGGGACUGAGACACGGCCCAGACUCCUACGGGAGGCAGCAGUGGGGAAUAUUGGGCAAUGGGCGCAAGCCUGACCCAGCGACGCCGCGUGAGGGAUGAAGGCCUUCGGGUUGUAAACCUCUUUCAGUAGGGAAGAAGCGAAAGUGACGGUACCUAAAGAAGAAGCACCGGCUAACUAUGUGCCAGCCGCCGCGGUAA
rnacentral:rRNA from 1 species